rnacentral:rRNA from 1 species
GACGAACGCUGGCGGCGUGCUUAACACAUGCAAGUCGAGCGGUAAGGCCCUUUCGGGGGUACACGAGCGGCGAACGGGUGAGUAACACGUGGGUGACCUGCCCUCAGCUCUGGGAUAAGCCUGGGAAACCGGGUCUAAUACUGGAUAUGACUCCAUGACGCAUGUUGUGGGGUGGAAAGCCUUGUGCGGCUGAGGAGUCGGGCCCGCGGCCUAUCAGCUUGUUGGGUGGGGUGANGGCCUACCAAGGCGACGACGGGUAGCCGGCCUGAGA